UCCGGGCAACAGUACUGGAGUAGGGUGCCGUUGCCUUCUUCUGAGAAUAUAUAUGUAUGUAUAUGUGUGUGUGUAUAUAUAUAUAUAUAUAUAAAAUAAAAUAACUUUGCUGUACACCCGGAACUAAUACAACAUUGUAUAUCAACUUUACUUUAGUUUAAAAAAUAAAUACAAAUAAGAAAAUAAAAAGAAAAUGGAAAUAGUGGUAUUUACAACACAAAUAGUGAUAUUACAACACAGAGAAGAGAGAGAGGAGAGAGUGAACUUAUUUAUUCACUUAUUUAUUUUCUAUCAACAAAUGAUGGUUGAGCAAGAUGAAGAUUAUGUGUAAGAGCUUAGUUUGACAUAAGGUUGUUUAGUUGCUAAGUUGUAUCCAACUCUUUUGUGACCCCAUGGACUGUAGCCCCCCAGGCUCCCCUGCCUGUGGGAUUUCCCAGGCAAGAAUACUGGAGUGGAUUGCUGUUUCCUCCUCCAGGGGAUCUUCCCAACCCAGGGGUCAUACCUGGGUCUUUUGCAUUGGCAGGUCGAUUCUUUACCACCAAAGAUUCUUUGAGCCACCAGACUGAAGCUUCAAUACUUUGGUCACCUGAUGAGAAGAACCGACUUGUUGCAAAGGACCCUGAUGUUGGGAGAGAUUCAAGGCUGGAGGAGAAGAGGGUGGCAGAGGAUAAGAUGGUUGGAUGGCAUCACCGACUCAAUGAACAUGAAUUUGAGCAAACUCUGGGAGAUCGUGAGGGACAGGGAGGCCUGGUGUGUUACAGUUUAUGGGAUUGCAAAGAGUCAGACAUGACUUAGUGACUGAACAACAACAGCCAGGUGCCUGGUGCCCUAUCUCUCCAAGAAAUUUUCCUUUUAUUUGGUUGUUUUUCCUUCUUAUACUGCAUCUUUUCCUUGUGUCAUCACCUCCACGGCAUGCUCUGGACCUGCCUGUGCCUGGGUGGCAAUCACAGUAAUUGGGACACUUUUCCUGUGAGCUGCUUGUAUCCAUCACCUACUGGCCACUUCCCCGAGACUCCCCAGUUCAAGAUGGCCCCAAGUGAACUCCUUAUCUCUUUCUACCCACUGCAUCUCUUUCUCCUCCCAUUCUUUUUCCUUCUUUCAGAGAGGAGGGCCACCAAUUCUCCAAGAGCCAGAAAACUCUUCCUGAAAACCUUCCACAGGAGGGGGCUGAUGUUACCUACAACCAUGGAGCAUCACGCCCAUGAAUGUGCUUUUUGAACAUCUCUAGUGGAUUCACUACGGCUUCCCAGGUGGCGCAGUGGUGAAGAAUCCUCCUGCCAGUGAAGGAGAUGCAAGACACUGGAGUUUGAUCCUUGGGUAGGGAAGAUCCCCUGAAGAAGGAAAUGGCAACCCGCUCCAGGAUUCUUGCCUGGAGAAUCCCAUGGACAGAGGAGCCUGGUGGGCUACAGUUCAUGGGGUCGCAGAGUCGGAUGCAGCUGAACAACUGAGUGUGCCCGCAGUGGACUGACCCCCUCCAUCUCCUCAUCUGUUACAGUUGGGAUGCAUCGGGACGCCUUGACUUUCACCUGCGGACCUCUACACUCUCACACUUGGGGGGCAGCAAAUUUACUCUCUUUACUCCGGUACAGUAGCCCUCCCCCUUAUCUGUGAAGAUGCUUCCCAGACCCUCCGUGGAUUCCUGAAACCGGGGAUAACACUGAACCCUGCAUGUAAUACUAUGCUUUUCCUAUACAUACACACCUAUGAUAAAGUUUAAUUUAUGUUAGACACAGGGAGAGAUUAGCAAUCACUAUUCAUAAAAGAGCACAAUUAUGGC
rnacentral:lncRNA from 1 species